rnacentral:rRNA from 1 species
GUUUGACCUCGGAUCAGGUAGGGAUACCCGCUGAACUUAAGCAUAUCAAUAAGCGGAGGAAAAGAAACCAACAGGGAUUGCCUCAGUAACGGCGAGUGAAGCGGCAACAGCUCAAAUUUGAAAUCCGACCCCCUGCGGGGCCCGAGUUGUAAUUUGCAGAGGGUGCUUCGGGCGCGGCGCCGGUCUAAGUGCCUUGGAACAGGACGUCAUAGAGGGUGAGAAUCCCGUCUGUGACCGGCGGCCAAGCCCAUGUGAAGCCCUUUCGACGAGUCGAGUUGUUUGGGAAUGCAGCUCAAAACGGGUGGUAAAUUUCAUCUAAAGCUAAAUACCGGCCAGAGACCGAUAGCGGACAAGUAGAGUGAUCGAAAGAUGAAAAGCACUUUGGAAAGAGAGUCAAACAGUACGUGAAAUUGUUGAAAGGGAAGCGCUUGCGAUCAGACCGGUCCGGGGGCGAUCAGCCGCUGCUCGUCAGCGGUGCACUCGCCCUCGAUCCGGCCAGCAUCGGUUUGGGCGGCGGGAGAAAAGUCCCGGGAACGUAGCUUCCCUCGGGGAGUCUUAUAGCCCGGGUCGUCAUGCCGCCCGCCCGGACCGAGGACCGCGCUUCGGAUAGGAUG